rnacentral:tRNA from 1 species
AGCAGCAUGGUCUAGUGGAUUAAAACAUGGGCCUGGGAGUCAGAAGGAUCUGGGUUCUAAUCCCAGUUCUGCCA